rnacentral:lncRNA from 1 species
AAUGUAGGUUAAUCUUAAAAAAAAAAUGUGUAUUGAAAAACCCUGAAGCUGUUUGGUCAACUCUAACCUAUGGGAGCUGUGGAAAAUUUGACAGGUCAUUUCACUUGUUUAUUGGUCAAUAUUAUUGCUUUGUGAUACAGCGAACAACCACAAAAUUAUUUCUCUUUUGCUUAGCCAGGCACUAAGAGUGGGAAGGAAACUGGUAAUACCAGUACAUGCCCCAAUCUGGAAAAGUUGAAUAGACAUUCCUUAAUUUCCUUUGUGACUAUGAAAAUGAAAGUUCUUUCUUCACAGAGAGGAAACAACCUAGACAUCAUAAAAGAAAUACCGAUAUCACCACUUCUUUUAAGAUGAAAAGAUAACAUUUUAUGCACAUGACAGAGUAGGCAAUGUUCAACCCUUGAAUCUAUCAAAUCAGUAUAAUUUCAUGGAGGAUCAGCACUUUCAAGCUUUUACGAUUUAACUGCUUUUAAUGGUUUUUGGUAAUUAUACUGUUAUCAUCAUUUUAAAAUAAGUAUAAUUGGUACGCUCUUCAGGGAUUGAACAGGAAAACAUGGUAUUGUUUUGCCACAGAGAGAGAGAGAGAGAGAGAGAGAGAGAGAGAGAGAUUGAUUACUGGAGGAAGGAAAAAAGGAAUGAAGGAAAAAAGGAAGAAGAAAGAGAGAGUAUAAAAACCAUUGCAAGAAAUUACAGGAAAACACAGAAGCCAG